rnacentral:rRNA from 1 species
UGAGGAAUUUUGCGCAAUGGGAGCAAUCCUGACGCAGCAACGCCGCGUGGGUGAUGAAGGCCUUCGGGUCGUAAAGCCCUGUCAGGUGGGAAGAAUGUCCCGGAACUGAACAGGUUUCGGGAGUGACGGUACCACCAGAGGAAGCACCGGCUAACUCCGUGCCAGCAGCCGCGGUAAUACGGAGGGUGCAAGCGUUAUUCGGAAUUACUGGGCGUAAAGCGCGUGUAGGCGGUCCUGCAAGUCUGAGGUGAAAGCCCGGGGCUUAACCCGGGAAGUGCAUUGGAAACUGCAGGUCUUGAGUACUGGAGAGGAUGGGGGAAUUCCCGGUGUAGAGGUGAAAUUCGUAGAGAUCGGGAGGAAUAUCAGUGGCGAAGGCGCCCAUCUGGACGGUAACUGACGCUGAGACGCGAAAGCGUGGGGAGCAAACA